GGGAGAAGACUUCCCAGCCCUGCACCCGGUACACUGCAUCUGAAUGAAACUAUGAAUUUAAGAAUGGGUCACCACCUUUCCCAGCAGUGCUGAAUCCGAUGGAGCUCACGUGCAGAGGUCGUGGCUCCAAACAGUGCUCAGCCAGCACAAACCGGAGCUUCAUCCAGAAAGGAGAAUGAAGAUGCUGUUGAGAAAGCGCAUAUUUGCGGAGGCCCCAAGGCCAAGAGGCAUCAGAUGUCCAACAGCAGCUCCAUCACCAAGUUCCUUCUCCUGCCAUUUGCAGUCACACGGGAGCUGCAGCUCCUGCACUUCGCGCUCUUCCUGGGCAUCUACCUGGCUGCCCUCCUGGGCA